UGCUUUCGCAUACGACACUAGAGAGUCCAUUUGUCGGAGAAACGGUCUGAUUACUUGCGAAUAGUCAACAUUCACAAACCCUACAUUUGUCCGUAUUCGGUUGAGACUUGCUCAUGACUCUAUGUUCCAUUUAAUAUUUUCAAAUGUAGCCAAAUAUUUUAUUAGAGAGUUUGAUAACAUUGGGGAAUGGUAGAGAGCAGAAAUUACAAUUUUUGAGGCACAGUAAAAUAUGAAAGAAAUCUUUUUAAAAAACAUUAAGAAUUGAGCUAGUCAAUUUGUUUCAUAGCAGAUUUAUCAUUAUCAUUAUCAUUUUCGUUUAUAUGAAAUUUAAAUCAGAACAAUAAAAAUACGCGGGUUAUGUAAAUUUUCCAGCAAUGAUUGCUACCUUCAUAACUCGCAUGAAUCAUC
rnacentral:sRNA from 1 species